AUUGAACGCUGGCGGCAGGCCUAACACAUGCAAGUCGAGCGGAUGAAGGGAGCUUGCUCCUGGAUUCAGCGGCGGACGGGUGAGUAAUGCCUAGGAAUCUGCCUGGUAGUGGGGGAUAACGUCCGGAAACGGGCGCUAAUACCGCAUACGUCCUGAGGUAGAAAGUGGGGGAUCUUCGGACCUCACGCUAUCAGAUGAGCCUAGGUCGGAUUAGCUAGUUGGUGGGGUAAAGGCCUACCAAGGCGACGAUCCGUAACUGGUCUGAGAGGAUGAUCAGUCACACUGGAACUGAGACACGGUCCAGACUCCUACGGGAGGCAGCAGUGGGGAAUAUUGGACAAUGGGUGAAAGCCUGAUCCAGCCAUGCCGCGUGUGUGAAGAAGGUCUUCGGAUUGUAAAGCACUUUAAGUUGGGAGGAAGGGCAGUAAGUUAAUACCUUGCUGUUUUGACGUUACCAACAGAAUAAGCACCGGCUAACUUCGUG
rnacentral:rRNA from 1 species